rnacentral:rRNA from 1 species
CCCUUAGAUGUUCUGGGCGGCCCGCGCACUACAAUGGCGCUUUCAGCGAGUUCCUAUGUUGAAUUUUCCUUGGUAUUCUUGGAAGCGGCGUCUUGACUUGGGAUAGAUCCUUGUAAUUGUUGGUUUUGAACGAGGAAUUCCUUGUAAUCGCGGUUGAUCAGCUCGCGUUGAAUACGUCCCUGCCCUUUGUACACACCGCCCGUCGCUCCUACCGAUCGAACGAUUUUGCGAGGUAUCUGGACUGGCAUCUGCCUGGAAGGCCGUUCUUCGGGAUGGUUCGAAGGGUGUGCUUGCCGGGAAAGGGCCCAAGCAUGGUCGUUUAGAGGAAGUAAAAGUCGUAACA